UAUAUAAGUAAUCUCUUUAAAAGCCCUUUUCUUAAUUUUGAUAUUUCAAUUGUUUAGUAGAUAACUCCCUUAUUUGUUAUCCUUGUGUGGGAUUGGCAUAGUUAAGGAUAUCAAAUUAGGGAGCUAUUGACUAAACACAUACACGUGUGUGUGUGUGUGUGUGUAUAUGUAUGCACACAUAACCACAGAUACACACAAUCACAGACCUAUAUACACAUAAUCACCGACACACAUAUACAAUUACAGACCUAUACGCACAAAUACAAACACACAAAAUAAGUCACAUACAUACACACAAUCACAAUUGUACACACACAGACCCCACACACAAUCACAUGAGUACACCAACAAUCAAUCACAGACCACCAUACACAUAGAUAUACACAUUUUAUACUAAAGAGGUAUACCCAGCCUCCCUAACUUGCUCUGGGAGCGCUAGAGUGGAUCCUCUUCCUGGUGGCCAGUGCUUGCUGCUGGGAUGGAGCCUGGGACCUAUGUGCUCUACAUGCACAGGUCCCUCGAUGCCCAGCAGUGAUGCCGGGAUGAUGUCCUAUCCUGGCGGACAGGUCACUGUCAGGCGAUGAGGAAGCUGUGCAAGAGGAGCACAGAAUGUAAUGGGCUCAGGGGCAUACCUAGAGCUUUUGUAUUCUAAUUUUUAUUUUUUAUUGCCUACUAAAACAGUAAUCGGCAAUAAAAAAAAAACUUCUAUCCCCCUCCCCCCCCUUCUACAAAACACGUGCCACUCUACAAAAAAUCCUGCCCAGUCCCACUUCUACAACCUCUCCACCGUCUGCAGAACCCCUGCUCAGUCCUCCCUUCUGCAAAACCCCUGCUCAGUCCUCCCUUCUGCAAAACCCCUGCUCAGUCCUCCUUUCUGCAAAACCCCUGCUCAGUCCUCCCUUCUACAAAACUCCUGCCCAGCCACUCCUGUCUACAAAACUCCUGUCCAGCCACUCCUGUCUACAAAACCUCUGCCCAGCCACUCCUGUCUACAAAACCCCUGCCCAGCCACUCCUGUCUACAAAACCCCUGCCCAGCCACUCCUGUCUACAAAACCCCUGCCCAGCCACUCCUGUCUACAAAACCCCUGCCCAGUCACUCCCUUCUACAACACCCCUGCCCAGUCACUCCCGUCUACAAAACCCCUGCCCAGUCACUCCCUUCUACAACACCCCUGCCCAGUCACUCCCGUCUACAAAACCCCUGCCCAGGCCUCUACAAGACCUUUGAUCACUCCCUACAAAUCCCCUUUCACAAAAACUCCUGCUUCCCCUGUACAAAGACCCCUAUCCACCUACAAAACCCAUUUACAAAAAAAACCUCUCCCUCUCAAGACCCUUGCACAAAAAAGAAUUAAAAAAACACAAUAAUAGCAAGCAUUUACCCUGCUCCUCCGCCUGUUUGCUGCUCCCUGGUGAUCCGGACUCCAGACUCUCCCGCCGCCGUGGCGCCUGCACAGACUGUCAGAGUGCUUUUGCUCAGAACACCGUGAGGGCGGAGCAUGUGGACAGCGCGUUAUUGUGCACCUCCGCAUUCCUCCUCCUCCUGCUGCUCCCUACACCACUGAAUGGGCUCCCUGCCUCAUUCUCUGCCCAGCAGUGCGGACGGCAACCGGGUCGCAUGCAGGCCGCGGGUUAGACACCCAUUCUCUAUAGUGUUCCUUUAAUUAUGCAUUAUUUUUCUCAUUGAGCUAUAUCUUAAAAACAGCUUACAAAAGCAGCAAAUCUCUUGUUGAAAGCCUUUGUAAGUCUUUCCUUUUAACCCAGCUUAGACUUGCAUCGGCUGUCCCAUUACAGACUUCCAAUUACAGACUUUAAAUUUUUUUAUAAUUCAAUAAGUGCAGAAAAACAGGAGAAGAGAUUUUAAAAAUAUGAUGGACAUUGGGCAAGAUGGACAGAUAUGGGACAGAAUGGGCUAAAGGCUAAGAUUCUAGCUAGAGUAUGACCAAACCUUUAUAGCUAAUGUUCAGGAUUCCCAAGUAUGUGUCUUAACUAUGGUUAAUUCAUACAUUAAAAAUUAUCACUUUUGGAUCUAAAGCUUAAAGAAAAAAACCUUUUCAAUCUGUUUCAACAACUUUUUGGGCAGAUAACAAAACUCACUGCACACGUACACUAGGAUUUGAUUACACAGGUGUCUCUUAUGUGUUCUUUCAGUGCUUGGCAUAUGCUAAUGGGCUAUGAGUACCAUUGGCUGAUAGUUAAAAUUGUAGCAUAUAAAACUGUUUACUAGAAUGAAAUUAUCAUAGUUAACC